rnacentral:rRNA from 1 species
UACGUAGGGUGCAAGCGUUGUCCGGAAUUAUUGGGCGAAAGAGCUCGUAGGCGGUUUGUCGCGUCGAAUGUGAAAACCCGGGGCUCAACCCCGGGCCUGCAUUCGAUACGGGCAGACUAGAGUUCGGUAGGGGAGUCUGGAAUUCCUGGUGUAGCGGUGAAAUGCGCAGAUAUCAGGAGGAACACCGGUGGCGAAGGCGGGACUCUGGGCCGAUACUGACGCUGAGGAGCGAAAGCGUGGGGAGCAAACAGG